rnacentral:rRNA from 1 species
AUUGAACGCUGGCGGCAUGCUUUACACAUGCAAGUCGAACGGUAACAGGCCGCAAGGUGCUGACGAGUGGCGAACGGGUGAGUAAUGCAUCGGAACGUGCCCAGUCGUGGGGGAUAACUACUCGAAAGAGUAGCUAAUACCGCAUACGAUCUAUGGAUGAAAGCGGGGGACCGUAAGGCCUCGCGCGAUUGGAGCGGCCGAUGUCAGAUUAGGUAGUUGGUGGGGUAAAGGCUCACCAAGCCAACGAUCUGUAGCUGGUCUGAGAGGACAACCAGCCACACUGGGACUGAGACACGGCCCAGGCUCCUACGGGAGGCAGCAGUGGGGAAUUUUGGACAAAGGGCGCAAGCCCGAUCCAGCAAUGCCGCGUGCAGGAAGAAGGCCUUCGGGUUGUAAACUGCUUUUGUACGGAACGAAACGGCUCUGGUUAAUACCCGGGGCUAAUGACGGUACCGUAAGAAUAAGCACCGGCUAACUACGUG